CACGGGUUUAGCGGCUUACCAACGAGGUGUCUUGAGUCUUCUCCCUUAGGAGGCUAGUCUAUGUCCACGCUGCGAGGAGGUGUGGAGAGAACUCGCUGUCCGUCCACCGAGAGGGAGAGAGCCUAGGAGACAGAUUUCUGUGUCAGGACAGUAAGGGGAUCUCAUCAGGACGUGGAGCCAUGCUGCUGAGAAUUUUGCCCCGAGCGGCUGCACUGCUCAUGCUGUGUGUUCAGCUCCUGCAUGCCUCUGUGCUGCCUACUGUAUCCUCCUACGAGUUCACUGCCUAUAGGAUGCAGCAGUAUGCCAUUCAGCAGGAAAAACAUGGUUGUCGCGGUGCCAUCGUGCAGGCGGAGGCCCGCUCAGCAGACGAACCAGUGUUAACACGACGCUGUGUCAUCAUGAAGCUGCCGGACUUCACCGUGGAACGAUACUUUGAGGCUCUGAGGCAGAGUGCUGCCGCUGUACUCCUCCUGCUACCCAAAAACAUGUCCGCUGUCCCCCAGGAUAUCAUACAGACCUUCAUGGUGAGUGAGAGCGAAGCGUUGUUAAAGGACACCAUCAUGCCUGUGUACGUGACCCCGGAGGACGAGCAGCUCCUUUAUAUGUACGAAGAGGUCAAGCACGCCGCAGCCUCUCGCACCUCCUCUAUACUGGUCCGAGUGUUCCGUAGUAUGGUCACAGCCACCGUAUUUCAGAUUCUAGUGAGCAACACCAACCCCAUCAAGCCCAUCACUGACAGUACAAUCAUUACUCUGGAGGGUGUACUUCCUGGUGCUGGAGAGGAUGCGCCCACCAUCGUUAUCACGGCCCACUACGACUCCUACGGCCUUACUCCAUGGCUGUCAUAUGGAGCAGACUCCAACGGUAGCGGAGUCAUCAUCUUGCUUGAGCUGGUCCGUCUUUUCCAGAAACUCUAUAGCAACCCCCACAGCCAGCCUGCAUACCAUCUUCUUUUCUCCCUGACUGGCAGUGGGAAGUAUAACUUCCUGGGUACCAAGAGGUUUAUAGAGGAGAAUAUGGAUCAUGCCGAGACCAGCCUUCUCCAUGACAAUGUGGCGUUUGUUUUGUGUCUGGACACGCUGGCCAAUGGGGACGACAUGUUCCUGCACGUGUCCCGCCCCCCCAAACCUGGCACCCCUCAGCAUGCCUUCGUACAACAUCUGGAGCAGGUAGUUUCUUCCCGGUUCCCUUGGGUGAGGUUUGGGAUGGUCCACAAGAAGAUCAACUUGGGGGAGUCCACUGUUUCCUGGGAGCACGAGCGCUAUGCCAUGCGCAGGAUACCAGGCUUCACGCUGUCUCACCUGGAGGACCCCAAAUCUGAACUCAGAGGCUCCAUCCUGGACACUGUGUUGCACGUGGACUUGAGGAAGAUGAAGCGCAAUGCCAUCGUUAUUGCAGAAUCGCUAGCUCGGUUUAUGUAUAAUCUCUCUGACAAGGGUUCCCCAAAAGACAUACAGGUCUUCAAGGGCCAAAUGGAGUUUCAGGACAGUCGCAUGUCUAGCCUGAUGUCCUUCCUGACGUCCAUGCCACGGGCAACACAGCUGGAUAAGGAUCCCAAACACACCAUACUGGUGAACACUCUGGAACAUGAGCUGAGGUACUAUCUGCACCAGGUCCACAGACACACCUUCCGCCAAGACAAGAGGGAUCCUGAACUUACCUUUUUUGACCAAAUGGAGCAACCAAUGAUGAUGUAUAGGAUUAAGCCAGCAGCCUUUGACCUCUUCCUUGGGGGCUGUAUAGCUGCUUACCUGGCGAUAGUCUACUAUGCCAUCGAGAAUUGUGGAUAUCUCUACACCAAACUGAAAGCAGCUGUGAAGUCCAAACAGAAGUAAGGUUGUGACCAAUGCUUUGAAGACCUGGAAGUCAGAGUUGGGUUUUUUAGGUCCAAUGGAAAAUGCUUUUGUGCAAGAACUGACACUGAAUAGGGAAUUGUGUAGGCCAUAUACUGCAUUUCAGUUUGAAACUAUCUCAACUGAACAAGCCCAUGGGACAUUGUUGAAAAGGUUAUUUUAAAAUAAUUUUGUCGUCCAUGUUAAUGGUGACAACAACAAAAAAUGUCACCAAUUUGUAUGAAAUGCAUUUUGUUACUUUUACGGUUGUUUUCAAUCAACAGAAACCCUCUGAAUGACAUGAACUGUUUGUUUUAUUUUCAAAAGUUUAGCUUUUUCUAUCAAUAACAUUUCUAGCUAGAUUUGGAAUUAUCGUAUAUAGAAAAACUCUCAACCGGAGCCAUCUUUAAUUCUUUAAUGCAUCUUAUUUUUGUUUUUCUAAAGAGCAAUGAACUGCACAUUGCAUAACUUCAAGCCCCCGUCAUGCAAUGGGACUGUGCACCCCCUAGCGCUCGGCUACACUUAUUUGAAAGGACGUGCGAGCCUACAAAGAAGAACAACAAACUUCGAGACACGUGGAUCAGCCAGACACAGCAUCUUCUAGAAUGUCAGCUAAUGAUCAGUGCCAACAUGAGGGAGUGGAGAAGAAGACUACACUAGAGGAUCGAUUUAGCAGUAAUUGUAGGAUUGUAAAUUUAGAUCAAUUAACUCCUGUUUACUUGCCUGAAAAGAUGCCCAUGUUGAGUUUAUUACAGUUGCUAAUAGCUAGGCUUUUUUUUGCUGGGGAUAAAUGGGGGAUGGACGGAUACUGUGGGGUUUGCAAUAAGGCACAACGUGUUACAAAAUGUCUGUACCCCACUUAAAUAAUGUGGAACACUAGGCUAGAGCAGCAAGUCAUUAGUGUGGUACUAAACUAAACUAAAUCUCCCUCCUUGCUUGGCAGGUAGUGUUGUAAAAAUAAGUAAAAAUAAGAGUAAUUUCUGUUGUUGGGGGGUGUGUAUCUGUCCUUUACUCAAGUGUAUAUAUAUUUUUGACAGCUUUGACUCUUACUAUAUUCAUAAAGAUAAUGUGCACUUUUUACUCCCAUUUUCCCUGACACCCAAAAGUACUUGUUACACUUCGAAUGCUCAAGCAGGACAUCAAAAUGGUACAAUUCACACUUAUCAAAGAGAACGCAUGGUCGUCACUACUGCCUCUGAUCUGGCGGACUCACUAAACGCAACUAAUAGGUUUGUAAAUUAUGUCUGAAUGUUGGUGUGCCCCUGGCUGUCUGUAGAUUUUUAAAAAAAUUGGCCGGUCUUGUUUGCUUAAUGUAAGGAAUUUGAUGUAUAGGAUGUAAUUUAUACUUUUGAUACUUAAGUACAUUUUAAAACAGAUACUUUGAAUAUUUUACUCAAGUAGUAUUUUACUGGGUGGCUCACUGACUUGAGCCUUUAUUUUUAGGUAGUGGUUGAAAUUUACGUAAUUGUUACCUGGAGGAAAUUGGGGGAUGGUCAUGCUUUUUCAAUUUCAGCCAGGGUUUAGUAUUAUUAUUAUUUAUGCUCAGGGGAGGGUCAUGUCAUUUGUAAUCAAUUAAAUGUCAGUAUUUUUCA